UACGUAGGGUGCAAGCGUUAAUCGGAAUUACUGGGCGUAAAGCGUGCGCAGGUGGUCAUGCAAGGCAGAUGUGAAAUCCCCGGGCUUAACCUGGGAACUGCAUUUGUGACUGCACGGCUAGAGUGCGGCAGAGGGGGAUGGAAUUCCGCGUGUAGCAGUGAAAUGCGUAGAUAUGCGGAGGAACACCGAUGGCGAAGGCAAUCCCCUGGGCCUGCACUGACGCUCAUGCACGAAAGCGUGGGGAGCAAACAGG
rnacentral:rRNA from 1 species